CUUACUUUGUUCCACAGAUUUUCAAACAGCUACAUCAUAAGUAAUUUCUGUAAAUGCUGGCUGGAGAAUUCCAGUCAAUGCAAUUACACAUUAGGGUGACCAGUUAUCCAGGGUUUAAUUGUGUAAAAGUCACCAAUAUGAUCCAUUCUCCGAACUUCUCCUUCAACCUUUCAUGCCAUGACUAAUCAAGAACCUAUCAAUCUCUGCCUUAAAUACACCCAACAACCUGGUCUCCACAGCUGCCUGUGGUAACAAAUUCCACAGAUUUACCACCAUCUGGCUAAAGAAAUUUCUCUGGAUUUCCAAGAAUUUCCAAAUCUUUCACAAUAGUUCUGUAUAAGCUCAUAACACUCAGGACCACAAAGAAUUAUUCAUUUCUCCUACAAGUUCUGAAUAUCAAUAUUUACUCUUGAAACAGAAAAACCUUGAAAAUAUGGAAGGAGAUAGAAGACGAUUUUAUUAUUAUGGAAUUAUUGAAGCAUAACAUUGCUGAUGGAAUCGCUGAAGCUUUGCUUAUUGGGAGAUAUUUUCUACUUUUCAUUAUUCAAAAUCACAAAAUAUGUCAACGAUAAACCAAAGGUAUCUAAUUAAAAAGUAGAAAAAAACAGCAUGGAACAGACCAUUCCAGAUGACUGAGCCCAGCAACACACCAAUGUUAACCUUACCCAAUCACAGGAUCCAUCAACCUACUAACUGCCAUCCAUGUAAACAGAGGAGUGCCCCAAAGAAUGAAUGACAGUUACAUGUUUGAAUUCCAAAGCCCCCCCAAACUACCCCCUCGCAAGCACAAGCAGCAGCAAAGCCACAAUCCCCCACCCCUGACCAGCAAAAGAAGCAUCGGCGGCCCCCACCGAGCACUCAAGCAUGCAGCAAAGCAUCAACGAAGACCCAGAUGCAGUACCCCAAAGACGACUCCUUCACCUGUGCUGAGUCUGUGAGACGUCUCCGGCUGCUGUGAGCUUUGUGGCAAUUUGCCCGCUAAUGUGAUGAACUGAGGCAAAGGCUUCGACUGAACUCUGGCCGCCCAAUUCAGAUCUACAGACUCAAUUUGGUUCAGAAUGCUGUUGCUUGCCUCUAUUGUGUACAUGAAUUGUGCUUUUUCUCUUUCUCUGCGCAUUGGGUGUUGGUCUUUUUUAAUUGGGUUCUUUUGGGUUUCAUGCUUUGUGGCUGCCUGUAAGCAGACAAAUUUCAAGGCUGUAUAAUUUAUUCAUACUUUGAUAAUAAAUGUACU